UACGUAGGUGGCGAGCGUUGUCCGGAAUCAUUGGGCGUAAAGGGAGCGCAGGCGGGCAUGCAAGUCCAUCUUAAAAGCGCGGGGCCCAACCCCGCGAGGGGAUGGAAACUGCGUGCCUUGAGUGCAGGAGAGGAAAGCGGAAUUCCCAGUGUAGCGGUGAAAUGCGUAGAUAUUGGGAGGAACACCAGUGGCGAAGGCGGCUUUCUGGACUGCAACUGACGCUGAGGCUCGAAAGCCAGGGGAGCGAACGGG
rnacentral:rRNA from 1 species